AUUGAACGCUGGCGGCAUGCCUUACACAUGCAAGUCGAACGGCAGCACGGGAGCAAUCCUGGUGGCGAGUGGCGAACGGGUGAGUAAUAUAUCGGAACGUGCCCAGUCGUGGGGGAUAACGCAGCGAAAGCUGUGCUAAUACCGCAUACGAUCUAUGGGUGAAAGCGGGGGAUCGCAAGACCUCGCGCGAUUGGAGCGGCCGAUAUCAGAUUAGCUAGUUGGUGAGGUAAAGGCUCACCAAGGCGACGAUCUGUAGCUGGUCUGAGAGGACGACCAGCCACACUGGAACUGAGACACGGUCCAGACUCCUACGGGAGGCAGCAGUGGGGAAUUUUGGACAAUGGGCGAAAGCCUGAUCCAGCAAUGCCGCGUGCAGGAUGAAGGCCUUCGGGUUGUAAACUGCUUUUGUACGGAACGAAACGGUGAGCUCUAAUACAGUUUGCUAAUGACGGUACCGUAAGAAUAAGCACCGGCUAACUACGUGCCAGCCGCCGCCGUAA
rnacentral:rRNA from 1 species